rnacentral:tRNA from 1 species
UGGCUCAGUGGGUAGAGCGUUGGCCUGCGGACCAAAGGGUCCCGGGUUCGAUUCCCGG